GCCCGGGUGAUGGAAUGGCAGACAUGGUGGCCUCAAAAGCCACUGCUCGAAAGGGCGUGCGGGUUCGAAUCCCGCCCCGGGCA
rnacentral:tRNA from 1 species